rnacentral:rRNA from 1 species
UUGCACCCUGGCGUCGAGCGGCGGACGGGUGAGUAAUGCUUAGGAAUCUGCCCAGUAGUAGGGGAUAGCCCGGGGAAACUCGGAUUAAUACCGUAUACGCCCUUUUGGGGAAAGCAGGGGAUCUUCGGACCUUGCGCUAUUGGAUGAGCCUAAGUCGGAUUAGCUAGUUGGUGGGGUAAUGGCUCACCAAGGCAACGAUCCGUAGCUGGUCUGAGAGGAUGAUCAGCCACAUCGGGACUGAGACACGGCCCGAACUCCUACGGGAGGCAGCAGUGGGGAAUAUUGGACAAUGGGCGCAAGCCUGAUCCAGCCAUACCGCGUGUGUGAAGAAGGCUUUCGGGUUGUAAAGCACUUUCAGUGAGGAGGAAGGCCUUAAGUUUAAUACGCUUGAGGAUUGACGUCACUCACAGAAGAAGCACCGGCUAACUCCGUGCCAGCAGCCGCGGUAAUACGGAGGGUGCAAGCGUUAAUCGGAAUUACUGGGCGUAAAGCGCGCGUA